rnacentral:rRNA from 1 species
AUGAACAAGGCCGCCGCUUUCCGCCUCCGCCUCCUGCGGCGCUCGCUGUUCCGUGGGGAAAUCUCAUCUCAGCCCACCGCGCUUGCCGCACCGGCGCCCCUCCUCCAUCGGCGCCACUACACCUUCCCAUGGCGUGCGGCGGAGGAGGCGCCGGGCACGACCCAACGCCGUCUGUUCCACGGCAUCAUCAAGCAGAGCGGUCGACCGCCUGCAUUGGCGCAGGCGGCGCUGCUCCAUCGACACCACCACACCACCCCAUGGCGUGGGGAGCUCUCAUCCCCAACCCAGGGACGCCUGCACCGCAGCAGCAUCAAGCACUACUUCAGCGCUUCGGCCCGGUGGGUGAGCUCCUUUUGGUGGUGGUGCAAGGUCGCCGCAGCGGCAGCUUGCGUCAACGUCUUGUAUUCAGUUGUCUACCACACCUACCUAGUCCGCGUACCAUACACAAGUCGCACCCCCUAUUUUCGCCUUGAGACCGUGCCGUAUACCAAUCGGAACCACUAUGUCAUUCGCUCUCCCCUAGACGACCGCGACUAUGGCGAGUCCUGCUUUUCCAUGUUCAAGAGGAACUACCCAUCCACGUUCAUUAGCCCGCUCCACCCAGACAGUGUCCGUGUCAAUCUUAUCACGGCACAACUUCUCCCCGCUGUUCAGCGCGGCCUUGACAUCAAGAAGAGGCAUGCAAUUGAGAGCAAGAAACAGGGCAGCAGGUCAUGCGGAUCGCAGCCACAGAUAACGCACCUCGACGGGCUCGACUGGGAGGUGUUUGUUAUGAAAAACGAUGGGCAUGCCUGUGCAGUGUCGUGGUCCAAUGGCAAGAUUUUAGUGUUCACUGGAUUGCUCAAUCGUUUGGAGACGGAUGCUGAAAUUGCUGCUGUUCUUGCGCAUGAGAUUGCGCACCUGGUUGCCAGGCACUGGUCGGAGUUAAUCAUCUACAAGAAGUGGUGUCCUUAUCCCCUCAAGGUGUACUUCGUAAGAAGGCUGGAGAUAGAGGCAGAUCGCAUGGGAAUGCUGAUAAUGGCUGCUGCUGGUUUCGAUCCACGCAUAGCCCCUGUGGCUGCUGAGAAGCUAGUAGGGAAUGACAUAUAUCAUCCUUCGGGGAAGAAAAGAGCACGGCUUUUAUCUAGGGCAAAGGUCAUGGAUGAGGCACUGGAAUUAUAUAGAGAAGUUAUGUCGGCCAAGGCACCAGAGACUCAUUCUGCUACAGGUGCAUAG